CCGGUUCCCAUGUGAUCACCAAAGUUAAGCAACAUUGAGCCUGGUCAGUACUAGAUGGGUGAGCUCUUAGAAAUGCCAGGUGCUGUAA